UUAAAAUACCGGUUCCCGUACGAUCACUGAAGUUAAGCCACGUCGAAGCUGUUUAGUAGCUAGCUGGGUGACCGCUUGGAAAUAUCAGGUGCUGUAA